rnacentral:rRNA from 1 species
CAAUAGCGUAUAUUUAAGUUGUUGCAGUUAAAAAGCUCGUAGUUGGAUUUCUGCUGAGAACGACCGGUCCGCCCUUUGGGUGUGUAUCUGGCUCUUUCUUGGCAUCUUCUUGGUGAGCGUUGCUGCACUUGACUGUGUGGAGCGCUACCCAGGACUUUUACUUUGAGGAAAUUAGAGUGUUUCGAGCAGGCAUACGCCUUGAAUACAUUAGCAUGGAAUAAUAAGAUAGGACCUCGGUUCUAUUUUGUUGGUUUCUAGAGCUGAGGUAAUGAUUAAUAGGGAUAGUUGGGGGCAUUCGUAUUUAACUGUCAGAGGUGAAAUUCUUGGAUUUGUUAAAGACGGACUACUGCGAAANCANNNGCCAAGGAUGUUUUCAUNGA